rnacentral:rRNA from 1 species
UACGGAGGGUGCGAGCGUUGUCCGGAAUCACUGGGCGUAAAGGGCGCGUAGGCGGCGCGGGGAGUCAACGGUGAAAGCUCGGCGCUCAACGCCGAGUCGGCCGUCGAUACUCCCCGUGCUCGAGCACUGUAGAGGCAGGUGGAAUUCCGGGUGUAGCGGUGGAAUGCGUAGAGAUCCGGAAGAACACCGGUGCGAAGGCGGCCUGCUGGGCCAGUAGCUGGACGCUGAGGCGCGACAGCGUGGGGAGGCAAACAGG